rnacentral:rRNA from 1 species
AUUGAACGCUGGCGGCAUGCUUUACACAUGCAAGUCGAACGGCAGCGCGGGCUUCGGCCUGGCGGCGAGUGGCGAACGGGUGAGUAAUACAUCGGAACGCGCCCUGUCGUGGGGGAUAGCUCGGCGAUAGCCGGAUUAAUACUGCAUACGACCUGUGAGUGAAAGCGGGGGAUCCUGGGUCCUCGCGCCAUUGGAGUGGCCGAUGGCCGUUUAGUUAGUUGGUGGGGUAAAGGCCUUACAAGGAGGGGAGCGUUAACUGGUCUGAAAGGACGACCAGCCACCCUGUGAGUGAGGCACGGCAGAGACUCCGACGGGGGGCAGCGGUGGGGAAUUUUGCACGAGGGGGGAGUGCCUAAUCCAGCAAUGCGGGGUGUGUGAUGAAGGCCCUCGGGUGCGAAAGCACUGUUGGCGGGAGCGAAGAGGAGUGUGCCAAUACCACAGUACGAUGACGGUACCCGCAGAAUAAGCACCGGCUAACUACGUG